GCAAGCUCUUACUUACCUUCCCAGCAGCUUCCUUUAGCUCCCCUGUGUAAAUCUUCCGGCCUGUGUGCUGCACAGAACGUUGCCAUGGUAACCCGUGGCAAUGCUCUGACGGCCGCUGUACUUGCGAGAUUUAGACAGAGGAGCUGCUGGGAAGAUAAGUAAGAGUUUUCUGCAGGCCCUUCAAGACCGCCGGGCUUGUGAUGGGCCCGGCGGUCCUGGUAUGUAUUAUCGGCAAUAUCGGUAUCUCUAUAGGCCGAUACCUUUAUUGCCGAAAAUACCGAAUAUCGGCCGAUAAUAUCGGUCAGACAGAUUAUUGGUUGAUCCCUAUAGCCGAGUUACUAGUUGAUCCCUAUAGCCGAGUUACUAUUUAACAGAUACAUUUUCCUACUUUAGGAAAAAGAAAGAUGCUGCUAAGGUAGAGCAUUUUUUAUGUAGUUUGGGCGUUGCACUAAGUGUCUUAGGGUUAGGGGCACUUAUGACUGCUGUUCCCUGGCCUAAACUUGAACAAACCAAUGCUGUUUGUCAACCAUUUAGUGUUUUAGUAAUUAGAAUAAGUUGUCCAAGGCAUUCUGGCAAUUCAACUAGAUGUCACUUAAAUUAAAGAUGCAUUCAACAAUGCUGCAGUACAGUAUACAUUUUCCAUAAAUAUCCAUAGUAAAAUGAAAUAUAUAACACUAUUUUGGGCCCAUCUUAUCAAGGGACACUCUAACCACAUUAAAGGAACACUAUAGGGCCAGGAACACUAACGUAUUCCUGACCCAAUAGUGUUAAAUCCGCCAUCUAGCCACCCUGGUCCACUUGGCUCCCUAAAUAUAGUAAAUUAAUCAAUGCAUUUCUAUGAAAAAAGCUCAGUGCCUGCAUGCAGAGGGUGGAGACACUGAAUGGCAGUACUCCACAGUGUGCAGCACUGCCCCAGGAUGCACCUCUAGUAGCCAUCUGAGGAGUGACCAGUGGAGUUAUCCCUAGUGCUGUAAUGUAAACACUGCAUUUUCUCUGAAAAGACAGUGUUUGCUGCAAAAAGCCUGAAGAGAAUGAUUAUACUCACCAGAACAAAUACAAUAAGCUGUAGUUGUCAUGGUGACUAUAGUGUCCCUUUAAGUUGUAGUGGUUCUGAGAAAGGGCAUUGUUUGUACUACUGCCUAACUCCACCACUAUUGGCUUUCUCUCUGAUAGCUAAUAAAGGGACUUAUGGGCAAAGAUUGAAGACCUUUGUUCGUCUUGUCCCCGCUCUGCAUGGAGAUGUCAGACACUCCCCAAUGCAUUUCUAUGAGGAGGUGCUAAUUAGCACACAUCCCUGUUGGGAAGCAUUGGAUUGUCUGAGGUCAUCAUUAGUUAUGUUCUCAAUUGGGGAAAAGCGGUGGCUGCGGCAAUACCAGUGCACUGGAUGACUAUAGGUAAGUAAGGCAUUUUAUUUUAUGACAUACAGGGAUGGCUCUUAAUCUAUAUAGAUAGCUUAACAUGUUUACAUUCCUAAUGGGAGUGUUCCUUUAAAUACAGAGAAAUAUGAACCAAUUUGCUAAAGUGGACUGUAAAUAGUAUAACAUUUUAUUAAAGGAGGAAUUUUGCUUAAAAUAUAUGGAAAAAAAUCAGUGCACCUAGCAUUGCAUUUUUAUUUUUUUUUUUGUUGCUAGCUAUUUAUUUUGUGACACAUUAAUAAAAACAGAUGUUCAUAUCAAAUUCUCUAAACAAAUUCUUGCCAUGGUUUCAGAUUUCAUCCAUUUCAUAUGAGCUGCGAUGACUGUUUCGCCAAAUCAGAGUUCCUCGUUUGUAGCAUAUUGCUUAUGGUCAUCUAAGUAGAAAACUUUUUAUGUAAAAAAAAAAAGUUGACUUCUUAUUUACUGAUGAAAACAAAGGCAAAAUGUAAUUUUACAAUAAAAUUGCAACAUCCCUUAAAAUUAUUUUCAGAAGGAAAUUCCUCCACUUUUUACCUUUGCUUUCUUUUUUUACUUUGUUUUUUUUGGUAUCAUUUAACAAGUAAUAAAAUGAACCAUAUCUUCUGUAGAUUGUUUUUAUUAUAACUACUAUGAAUUUUAUGUAUAAAUCGUAUACAUACCACACAGUGGUAUGUUUUAAAUGCUCAUUUGUAGAUGAGAAUCCAUAUUCCAAUUUAUUUUAGGAAAAUUAAUGUGUCAGCACAGCUUAAAAAAAUUAUUUAUCUUUUCACCAAGAUUCCA